rnacentral:rRNA from 5 species
UGGGGAAUUUUGCACAAUGGGGGAAACCCUGAUGCAGCGACGCCGCGUGAUUUAGAAGGCCUUCGGGUUGUAAAAAUCUUUUGUAUGGGAAGAAAAUGACAGUACCAUACGAAUAAGGACCGGCUAAUUACGUGCCAGCAGCCGCGGUAAUACGUAAGGUCCGAGCGUUGUCCGGAAUCAUUGGGCGUAAAGGGUACGUAGGCGGAUAAGCAAGUUAGAAGUGAAAUCCUAUAGCUCAACUAUAGUAAGCUUUUAAAACUGCUCAUCUUGAGGUAUGGAAGGGAAAGUGGAAUUCCUAGUGUAGCGGUGAAAUGCGCAGAUAUUAGGAGGAAUACCGGUGGCGAAGGCGACUUUCUGGCCAUAAACUGACGCUGAGGUACGAAAGCGUGGGUAGCAAACAGG